AACGCGAAGAACCUUACCAAGGCUUGACAUACACCGGAAAGCAUUAGAGAUAGUGCCCCCCUUGUGGUCGGUGUACAGGUGGUGCAUGGCUGUCGUCAGCUCGUGUCGUGAGAUGUUGGGUUAAGUCCCGCAACGAGCGCAACCCUUGUUCUGUGUUGCCAGCAUGCCCUUCGGGGUGAUGGGGACUCACAGGAGACUGCCGGGGUCAACUCGGAGGAAGGUGGGGACGACGUCAAGUCAUCAUGCCCCUUAUGUCUUGGGCUGCACACGUGCUACAAUGGCCGGUACAAUGAGCUGCGAUGCCGUGAGGCGGAGCGAAUCUCAAAAAGCCGGUCUCAGUUCGGAUUGGGGUCUGCAACUCGACCCCAUGAAGUCGGAGUUGCUAGUAAUCGCAGAUCAGCAUUGCUGCGGUGAAUACGUUCCCGGGCCUUGUACACACCG
rnacentral:rRNA from 1 species